rnacentral:tRNA from 1 species
AGGAAUGUUCGCCUGGGAGCGGACUCGGUCUCCAAAGCCGAUGGACAGUGUUCGAAUCACUGCGUUCCUG